AGGAUAAUAGUUAAAUAUAACAGUUAAUUUGCAAUUAAAAAUUAUUGUUCAUCAAUUUAUCUUA
rnacentral:tRNA from 1 species